rnacentral:piRNA from 1 species
UGAGUGUGGAAACCAUCCCAGAAUCUGGAUGU